AUAAUAUUAUUAAGAUUUCUUCUUACUUUUAAGAUGAAAUGGCUGAAAAUAUUUAGAAUGGAAUAUAUUAUUUUUACAAGAAUGCGGAGACUUGAAAGAAGAGAGAAGAUUUUUACGCGAUGAGCAAAAUCCAUUUGAACUUUACAACAAGAAUUUAUUGCAUAGACUAAAUCAAGAAUUUAUUGCACAGACUAAAUCAAUUUUGAUCAUUGUAAAUUCUUAAUAAUUUAAGACAAAAUUGAAAAAAAAACAAUGUAUAACUGGCUUGUUUCCGGAAAUUCAGGUUUUGGUUACAAUUGGUUUUUUUGCUCAUGGUUCUUAUCAAAGACUAGAAACCAAUGCAAAUUAGUAAUAGCCAACUGCUAGCCGUUACAUAUGUAAAGUGGCACAAUUAAUAAAUAUACAUUUAUUACGUCAAUGGAUAAAAUUUCCCAUGACAUGAUUCCAUAUGAAAAGACUAUUGCAUAGAACAAAUUUGCACUAGCUGCACAGUUAUUUCCUGGAGCUGUUGGAGCUAUUGAUUGUAUGUACAUAAACAUUCUUGCACCACAUAUUCAUGAAGAAAUAUAUGUUAAUCACCAUGGUAAUUAUUCUUUGAAUGUUCAAGCAAUAGUCGAUCCAGAAAAUAUUAAAUAUGAAUAAAUAUGAAAAUAUUAAAUAUAAAUGCACGAUAUCCAGGUGCAAGAAAUGAUGCAUAUUGGCUUCUUCAAUUAAACGUCAUGGAGCUUUAACCAAGUAUAACUAAGGGAAAGGAAAAUUUAUUUAAUUGAUAAAUUAAUUGAAUGUUGAUUACAAGAUGCUGGAUAUCCAUUAGAGCCAUGGUUAAUGACACUGUGUGGCAAAUUAUUCUCAGUGGAGUCGCUAUCAUUAUAAUCAGAAAUUAUAUAAAGCGGAGUAUCAUUGAAAGAUUAUUUGGAAUUUUAAAGGGAACAUGGAGAUGUUUAUCUUACUAAUGUAUAUUGAUAUAUGCUCCAGAUAUUUGCGGAUUAAUUGUAAAUGCAUGUGUAGUUUUACAUAAUAUACGUGUACACUAUCGACUCUCCCCCUGGAUAGAAGAAAAUGUAAUCUUUGGUAACGCACAAAUGCAAAUGAAGCAAAUGAUGUUUGAAGAAGAAGAAGAAGAAUAAGAUAUAGGGGCCUAGAGCAAUAGCGUAUACAGAAGCAAAUUAUGCGAGAUUGGUUUCCCAAUUACCAAUGCAUAGGAGAAUGAGUAAUUC